rnacentral:rRNA from 1 species
CCUACGGGAGGCAGCAGUGGGGAAUAUUGCACAAUGGGGGAAACCCUGAUGCAGCGACGCCGCGUGAAGGAAGAAGUAUUUCGGUAUGUAAACUUCUAUCAGCAGGGAAGAAAAUGACGGUACCUGACCAAGAAUCCCCGGCUAACUACGUUCCAGCAGCCGCGGUACUACGUAGGGGGCAAGCGUUAUCCGGAUUUACUGGGUGUAAAGGGAGCGUAGGCGGUUUAGCAAGUCAGAAGUGAAAGCCCGGGGCUCAACUCCGGGACUGCUUUUGAAACUGUUGAACUAGAUUGCAGGAGAGGUAAGUGGAAUUCCUAGUGUAGCGGUGAAAUGCGUAGAUAUUAGGAGGAACACCAGUGGCGAAGGCGGCUUACUGGACUGUAAAUGACGCUGAGGCUCGAAAGCGUGGGGAGCAAACAGGAUUAGAUACCCCUGUAGUC